rnacentral:misc_RNA from 1 species
GGGAAAGCCAAGAUCGUGAAGUCUGACAAAAGGGAGAAAAACAGUUCACAGACUUUAGAUGCUGCAUCAAAGAGCAGAAUAUUGUCCAUGAUGAAAGACGUUAAAUCCUCCAUAACUAUGGAGAAAAUAGUGAAGCAGAAAGUACCCACAACACACACAUACUCGUCAAAAUUUGACAAGUCUAUUACCUUGGGGAAAGUUGAGGGUUCCGUUGAGGCUAUUCGUGCAGCUUUACAAAUAUUAGAUGGAGGGGGCAAAGUCGAAGAUGCAAGAGCUGUCUGUGAGCCUGGGCUUCUUGCUCAGAUAAUGAAGUGGAGGGGCAAGCUCCGAGUAUAUCUUGCUCCAUUUCUAUAUGGCAUGCGCUAUACGUCCUAUGGUCGCCACUUUACUAAAGUGGAGAAGCUUAGAGAGAU